rnacentral:tRNA from 1 species
GUGUUGGUGGUUCAGUGGUAGAAUUCUCCCCCUCCAUGUGGGAGAUCUGGGUUUAAUUCCCGGCCAGUGCA